UGCAUAUCAAUAAGCGGAGGAAAAGAAACCAACAGGGAUUGCCCUAGUAACGGCGAGUGAAGCGGCAACAGCUCAAAUUUGAAAUCUGGCUCUUUCAGAGUCCGAGUUGUAAUUUGCAGAGGGCGCUUUGGCUUUGGCAGCGGUCCAAGUUCCUUGGAACAGGACGUCACAGAGGGUGAGAAUCCCGUACGUGGUCGCUAGCUAUUGCCGUGUAAAGCCCCUUCGACGAGUCGAGUUGUUUGGGAAUGCAGCUCUAAAUGGGAGGUAAAUUUCUUCUAAAGCUAAAUAUUGGCCAGAGACCGAUAGCGCACAAGUAGAGUGAUCGAAAGAUGAAAAGCACUUUGGAAAGAGAGUCAAACAGCACGUGAAAUUGUUGAAAGGGAAGCGCUUGCAGCCAGACUUGCUUGCAGUUGCUCAUCCGGGCUUUUGCCCGGUGCACUCUUCUGUAGGCAGGCCAGCAUCAGUUUGGGCGGUGGGAUAAAGGUCUCUGUCACGUACCUCUCUUCGGGGAGGCCUUAUAGGGGAGACGACAUACCACCAGCCUAGACUGAGGUCCGCGCAUCUGCUAGGAUGCUGGCGUAAUGGCUGUAAGCGGCCCGUCUUGAA
rnacentral:rRNA from 1 species